CCUACGGGAGGCAGCAGUGGGGAAUAUUGGGCGAUGGGCGCAAGCCUGACCCAGCAAUGCCGCGUGGGAGAAGAAGGUCUUCGGAUUGUAAAGCCCUUUCGGCGGGGACGAUGGUGACGGUACCCGCAGAAGAAGCCCCGGCCAACUUCGUGCCAGCAGCCGCGGUAAUACGAAGGGGGCUAGCGUUGCUCGGAAUUACUGGGCGUAAAGGGCGCGUAGGCGGCCUUGCAAGUCAGGCGUGAAAUCCCCGGGCUCAACCCGGGGGCUGCGCUUGAGACUGCGGGGCUUGAGGACGGGAGAGGCUCGCGGAAUUCCCAGUGUAGAGGUGAAAUUCGUAGAUAUUGGGAAGAACACCGGUGGCGAAGGCGGCGAGCUGGCCCGUUUCUGACGCUGAGGCGCGACAGCGUGGGGAGCAAACAGGAUUAGAUACCCUGGUAGUCCACGCCGUAAACGAUGUGCGCCGGGUGUUGGGGGGCCUAGCCCCUCAGUGCCGCAGCCAACGCGGUAAGCGCACCGCCUGGGGAGUACGGCCGCAAGGUUGAAACUCAAAGGAAUUGACGGGGGGCCCGCCAAGCGGUGGAGCAUGUGGGUU
rnacentral:rRNA from 1 species